rnacentral:rRNA from 1 species
UACCAGCACCCCGAGUGGUCGGGACGUUUAUUGGGCCUAAAGCAUCCGUAGCCGGUUCUAUAAGUCUUCUGUUAAAUCCACCUGCUUAACAGAUGGGCUGCGGAAGAUACUAUAGAGCUAGGAGGCGGGAGAGGCAAGCGGUACUCGAUGGGUAGGGGUAAAAUCCGUUGAUCCAUUGAAGACCACCAGUGGCGAAGGCGGCUUGCCAGAGCGCGCUCGACGGUGAGGGAUGAAAGCUGGGGGAGCAAACCGG